UCUCCACCGAAUGCCUAAGGUUUCCUGAGGAAGGCUCGUCCGCUCAGGGUUAGUCGGGACCUAAGCCGAGGCCGAAAGGCGUAGGCGAUGGACAACAGGUUGAUAUUCCUGUACCACCUCCUCACCAUUUGAGCAAUGGGGGGACGCAGGAGGAUAGGGUAAGCGCGGUAUUGGAUAUCCGCGUCCAAGCAGUUAGGCUGGGAAAUAGGCAAAUCCGUUUCCCAUAAGGCUGAGCUGUGAUGGCGAGCGAAAUAUAGUAGCGAAGUUCCUGAUUCCACACUGCCAAGAAAAGCCUCUAGCGAGGUGAGAGGUGCCCGUACCGCAAACCGACACAGGUAGGCGAGGAGAGAAUCCUAAGGUGAUCGAGAGAACUCUCGUUAAGGAACUCGGCAAAAUGACCCCGUAACUUCGGGAGAAGGGGUGCUCUGUUAGGGUGCAAGCCCGAGAGAGCCGCAGUGAAUAGGCCCAGGCGACUGUUUAGCAAAAACACAGGUCUCUGCGAAGCCGUACGGCGAAGUAUAGGGGCUGACGCCUGCCCGGUGCUGGAAGGUUAAGAGGAGCGCUUAGCGUAAGCGAAGGUGCGAAUUGAAGCCCCAGUAAACGGCGGCCGUAACAAUAACGGUCCUAAGGUAGCGAAAUUCCUUGGCGGGUAAGUUCCGACCCGCACGAAAGGCGCAACGAUCUGGGCACUGUCUCAACGAGAGACUCGGUGAAAUUAUAGUACCUGUGAAGAUGCAGGUUACCCGCGACAGGACGGAAAGACCCCGUGGAGCUUUACUGCAGCCUGAUAUUGAAUGUUGGUACAGCUUGUACAGGAUAGGUAGGAGCCUUGGAAACCGGAGCGCCAGCUUCGGUGGAGGCAUCGGUGGGAUACUACCCUGGCUGUAUUGACCUUCUAACCCGCCGCCCUUAUCGGGCGGGGAGACAGUGUCAGGUGGGCAGUUUGACUGGGGCGGUCGCCUCCUAAAAGGUAACGGAGGCGCCCAAAGGUUCCCUCAGAAUGGUUGGAAAUCAUUCGCAGAGUGUAAAGGCACAAGGGAGCUUGACUGCGAGACCUACAAGUCGAGCAGGGACGAAAGUCGGGCUUAGUGAUCCGGUGGUUCCGCAUGGAAGGGCCAUCGCUCAACGGAUAAAAGCUACCCCGGGGAUAACAGGCUUAUCUCCCCCAAGAGUCCACAUCGACGGGGAGGUUUGGCACCUCGAUGUCGGCUCAUCGCAUCCUGGGGCUGUAGUCGGUCCCAAGGGUUGGGCUGUUCGCCCAUUAAAGCGGUACGCGAGCUGGGUUCAGAACGUCGUGAGACAGUUCGGUCCCUAUCCGUCGCGGGCGCAGGAAAUUUGAGAGGAGCUGUCCUUAGUACGAGAGGACCGGGAUGGACGCACCGCUGGUGUACCAGUUGUUCUGCCAAGGGCAUCGCUGGGUAGCUAUGUGCGGACGGGAUAAGUGCUGAAAGCAUCUAAGCAUGAAGCCCCCCUCAAGAUGAGAUUUCCCAUUCCGCAAGGAAGUAAGAUCCCUGAAAGAUGAUCAGGUUGAUAGGUCUGAGGUGGAAGUGUGGCGACACAUGGAGCCGACAGAUACUAAUCGAUCGAGGACUUAACC
rnacentral:rRNA from 1 species